rnacentral:rRNA from 1 species
AGGCCUAGCGGCGGACCCGGGUGAGUAACACGUGGGGGUAACCUGCCCAAGAGAUCGGGGAUAACACCUGGGAAACAGAUGCUAAUACCGGAUAACAACAGAUGAUGCCUAUCAACUGUUUAAAGAUGGUUCUGCUAUCACUCUUGGAUGGACCUGCGGUGCAUUAGCUAGUUGGUAGGGGUAACGGGCCUACCAAGGCGAUGAUGCAUAGCCCGAGUUGAGAGACUGAUCGGGCCACAUUGGGACUGAGACACGGGCCCAAACUCCUACGGGAGGCAGCAGUAGGGGGAAUCUUCCACAAUGGACGCAAAGUCUGAUGGAGCAAAACGCCGCGUGAGUGAAGAAGGGUUUCGGCUCGUAAAAGCUCUGUUGUUGGUGAAGAAGGACAGGGGUAGUAACUGACCCUUUGUUUGACGGUAAUCAAUUUAGAAAGUCACGGGCUAACUACGUGCCCAGCAGCCGCGGUAAAU